GGGGCUAUAGCUCAGUGGUAGAGCGCCUGCCUCACACGUGGGUUUGAUUCUUAGCACCA
rnacentral:tRNA from 1 species